AGACGUCUACAUUAGAUACCCGCGUAGUCCCAGCCGUAAACUAUGCGCGUUAGGUGUAUCGGUGACCACGAGUUACCGAGGUGCCGAAGGGAAACCGUGAAACGUGCCGCCUGGGAAGUACGGUCGCAAGGCUGAAACUUAAAGGAAUUGGCGGGGGAGCACCACAACAGGUGGAGCCUGCGGUUUAAUUGGACUCAACGCCGGGAAGCUCACCGGAUAGGACAGCAGAAUGAUUGCCGGGCUGAAGACCCUGCACGACUAGCUG
rnacentral:rRNA from 1 species